AAUUAUUCCUGUCAGACAAGAAAUGUUUCUUAUCACGCUCACAUGAAACAAAAGAUUAUGAGAUAGACAUAGAUGGAACAUACAAAACAAGCACACCAGUAAAUGUAAGUAAUAAUUACACCUUUUUUGAAAUAUGUUGUACAUCAAAAUACUGGUCAAAUUUGAAUAAAAUAUUUUUGAUGUUGAUUGAUUUUUUGGCUUUAUUUUAGUCACAUGAAACAAAAGAUGAUGAGAUCCACACAGAUGGAACAUACAAUUUAAACUUUUCAUUGCAUCUAAAUAUUAAUAAUGUCAUCACAAAAAUACGCCAAAUGACUACAAUUAUUAUUUUUUAUUUCAUUAACAGGUUUUAUUUUCGGUAUGCAAUACCGAGGUGGAACCUUUUAGAUCUGUGUCAUCCCCUCACGUUUAGUGAAAUACCGGGGUGGUUGGAACUUGAUUUGGUCCAUCCUGUCAUCAACUGUUUUUCAAUGGGACGACUUCUGAACAUCAGAGAGAUCUUGACUGUCAAGAUACGUGAAUUAGGCCACUGAACUUUUCAAAACAAAACCAACACAGGUGAAAUAUCUGAGCAUCUCCCUUGACAAUAAAUUGAACUGGGCAAGUCAUAUCGACAACAUGCAUAGUGCCUAGCAAACAUAGCGGCCAUGGGUUGUAUGAGAACCACUCUAUCGGCAUCACUUGACUUCUUUCUGAAUCUCAGACAUUUAGACCUCAUUAUUCAGGAGGAAGCACAAGCACCCACUCUAAGACUUAAAGGAAACGAUCUAUGAAAGCAAAACAAGGAGACAGGAUAUUCCGCGAUUCUGCACAAAACCCUAAAAGAAAUACCCCUCAUCAACAGGAUAGGUACCCUGUGUACACAUCUUCGACCAAAGAUAAUAUCCAGCUUACAGCGGAAACGCGAAAUUGCUCUGGAAUCAAUGAAGUUAGGAUAUACCGACGUCUUCAAAACUGAAAUAAGUACUAGGAGGUCUUCUCGAAUGACCUAAACAU